rnacentral:rRNA from 1 species
UAAUUCUUUUAUUAUUUAUUUAUUAGUUAAUUUUUAACUUAUAAAUUUUAUUAGGAAAUAUUUAAAGGGAUGAGCUUUUAUUUAUACUUCUAAAAAUUAUUCAGAUUUUAUAUUUUGUAUAAUUUAGAUUGUUAAUCAUAUGAAUAAUUUAAUAGUUAAUUUUAUUGUUUUUAAGAUUUAUAUUUAUUUUAGGUUUUAUAUUAAAAAUUUUUGUUGAAUCUAUUUUCUUUAGUUAUAAUGAUUAAAUUAGUAGAUAAAUAUGUAUUUAAUUAUUUUAUUUUUAGGUAAUAAAAAGGAACUCGGCAAAUAUUAUUUUCUGCCUGUUUAUUAAAAACAUGUCUUUUUGAUUAUAAUUUAAGGUUUGAUCUGCUCAAUGAUUAGUUAAAUUGCCGCAGUAUUUUGACUGUGCAAAGGUAGCAUAAUAAUUAGCUUUUUUAUUGGAAGCUGGAAUGAAUGAUUGGACAAGAAAAUUUCUGUCUCUUUAUUAUUUUUAUUGAAUUUUACUUUUAAGUUAAAAGGCUUAAAUUUGUUUAAAAGACGAGAAGACCCUAUAGAGUUUAAUUUUUAAUUAUUUGGAAUUUUUUUUGGAAUUUUAAAAAUUUUAUUUUUUUAAUAAUUUGGUUGGGGUGACUGAAAGAUAAGAUAAACUCUUUUAAUUAUAAUCAAUUAUAUUUGAAUUUAAAAUCUAUUUUUAUAAGUUUAAAAUAAAUUACCUUAGGGAUAACAGCGUAAUUUUUUUUUAGAGUUCAUAUUAAAAGAAAAGUUUGCGACCUCGAUGUUGGAUUAAAAUUUAUUUUAGGUGUAGAAGCUUAAAUAUUAAGUCUGUUCGA